GGCGGCACGGCAUGGGCGGCUGGGGUCCCCCUGGUCGGGCUCCGCCGGGCGGCUGCUGGAGGAGAGGAGGAGGGGGGCCAGGCGAGGCGCGCGGGAGCCGGAUUCGGCCCGGGCUCUCCGGGAGAGCAAGGCGGUCAAAGAGGCGGGCGCGGAGGCGGAGAGAGGCGGGCGCAGCGCGGCGGGCGGGGCGGGGCGAGGCAGCCCUCGGCGUCUCCCUGCUGCCCGCCCUUUCCUGGCCAGCUGCGCGGCGGGAGCCUUGGGCGCUUGGCGGCUCCCGCAGCGACUCCAGACCGGCUCCUGCCAGGGCGGAGCGCUUGGGAGAGCUUCCUUCGCCCUUCGGCGUUGGCGACGGGCAGCUGGGAGGGAGGAGCGGAGGCGCCGGCGGCUUCCUUUCCUGGGCCCAGCGUCUGACUACAGUCCGCGGCUGCUCUCUUCUUCCAGGUUUUGGCUGAAUAAAUGUAGUUUACACGUACGAAAUAAUCCACUCGGAUUGAAUCCGGCGGACUGAAAGGCUUGGGACGCCGCCUGUAAUUGUCAAGCUUUCUGAAUAAAUCCGGCCCAGCGCAGCUUCCUGGCCCGGUUCCUCCUCCUCCUGGAAUUACAGUGGGGGAGCUGCAAGCAAACACUGGGACCGGGUCAAAAUGGGCAAAGAUGGCGAUGUUCGGACGGCGGGAUGUUGCAAACGGCCGCAAAUGUGGGCUACUUGCCAAGCGCCCAAAACUGCCGUCGGGAACUCCGGAAGCGACUCGCCGGAAUCUCUUUGCGGGGCUGUCCCCUUGGGACCCCUUGCAACAGGGGGGCUGACUUGGAGGUUUUGACUUUCUCAAGGACUCUCGAAGAUGCUGCCCGUUUUGGAGGGGGCAAGGAAGGCUGCCCGCUGGCUUGCCUGGUAACAACUUUUCAGAUAUAUUUAAGCCAUUUUAUUUUAUGAUAUCUCGCCCCUCCCAGACCUGCCCCCUCCCUCUUCAGGACAGCUUUUCAGCAGCUCUUGGGGGGGGGGGCGAUGGGCUUUUGAAGUUAAUGGCCUCAGGAGACAGGCAUCUCUCUCUCUCUCUCUCUCUCACACACACACACACACACACUCUCUCUCUCACAGACACACACACACACACCCUACUAGGGCCAGGAAGUGCCACCUGAAAGUUGAAUUUUUCUUUUCUAUUGUUAUGGCCAUCAUCACUGUGCCCAGAUUCAGAGCAAACGGUUCCAGUUGUGAGAGAUCGGCGUGUAGAUAAAAGGAGGAGCUGCUUCAUGCAUUGCCUUUCUGGGGGAAAGGUGGGUGGAGGGCUGGCAGUGAGAAAGCCCCACCCAGCCAUGCAGCUGGGCAAGAGGAAGGCCAGGGGUCAGCCAUGGGUGACUUCUCUGACCAUUGGCAUUUCUCUAAAGCACAGAUGCCCCCCCUCCCCCAGAGCAGAAUCUUGGUUUCUAAGGAGAAAAGUUACCCCA